rnacentral:rRNA from 2 species
GGGUUGUGAGGUUAAGCGACUAAGCGUACACGGUGGAUGCCCUGGCAGUCAGAGGCGAUGAAGGACGUGCUAAUCUGCGAUAAGCGCCGGUAAGGUGAUAUGAACCGUUAUAACCGGCGAUUUCCGAAUGGGGAAACCCAGUGUGACUCGUCACACUAUCAUUAACUGAAUCCAUAGGUUAAUGAGGCGAACCGGGGGAACUGAAACAUCUAAGUACCCCGAGGAAAAGAAAUCAACCGAGAUUCCCCCAGUAGCGGCGAGCGAACGGGGAGGAGCCCAGAGCCUGAAUCAGCAUGUGUGUUAGUGGAAGCGUCUGGAAAGGCGCGCGAUACAGGGUGACAGCCCCGUACACAAAAGCGCAUGUGCUGUGAGCUCGAUGAGUAGGGCGGGACACGUGGUAUCCUGUCUGAAUAUGGGGGGACCAUCCUCCAAGGCUAAAUACUCCUGACUGACCGAUAGUGAACCAGUACCGUGAGGGAAAGGCGAAAAGAACCCCGGCGAGGGGAGUGAAAAAGAACCUGAAACCGUGUACGUACAAGCAGUGGGAGCCCCACCACUAAGCCAGUGGUGAACUCCACAUACGCAUCCUUUGCUGAGGAUACGGUUAACGGAGCGAAAGCGACGUUCAACCUCAAAAGAAGCAGAGGGGGCUUAGUGGUGGGGUGACUGCGUACCUUUUGUAUAAUGGGUCAGCGACUUAUAUUCUGUAGCAAGGUUAACCGAAUAGGGGAGCCG